UUACAAGCGUGCAGAGCCCUGUUCAACAGCAGUCUGAGACUACACCCAUUUUGAUUUAGUCUGGAUUAUCCUGGCAGCUUAACUGUAUGUCUUGGCUGAUAUUGCACUCUUUCAGAAGUUGGUGUAUAUGUGACAUAGCUAUCUCCCACUGCUUUUUUAUAAACCAGACCCGAAAGAAUCUUGCCAAGGGGGCUUGCACAGAUAGACGGCAGCAGAAGCAGGGCUUGUGGGGCCCAGUGGAGGACCAGGCAGAGGUCAGAGUGAGGGGUCAGACGAUCUAAGCCUAUGCUGUGUUGGAGAUGCCCUUGGGGGGGAUAUGAUUACAACAUUGUUUGGCUAUGAAGAGCCAUGAGCGUCAGCCAUAAUUACAUGUUUUUCCUCUGCAGCCAGAAGGACACGGUGUUCCUUUGGCACAAAAGUCAGAGCAAAGGAAAACACACUGAUGCCACUGAUGUCUCAAACUGAAACAAAAAAACCUCUCAAAAUAAAAGGAUGUAUGGAAAAGACAAAUGAACAUCGUGAACACAUAAUAAACACAAUAAAAGUAACAUAUGUAGAUACAUCAUCA